ACCGCGUAUGAAAACGAAGGAAAAUAAAUGGAUUAGGAAAAAAAUCAAUGAGAAGAAAAAGAAGAGAAACAUGGUAAAACUCAGAGAAUUUCAGCAAAAAGAGAGGGAGAAGAAUAAAUGGCAGAAUUUUUUUGUAAAAAAGAGUCAAAAUUCGAUUAUGGGAAAAAAAUAAAAUAAAAUCUCAAUAACCCCCCAAAUCUCUUAAUCUUCUCCCCUAAUUCCCAUUACACAUCCACUAGUCAGAAUCCCCCUAUUACACAACUCUAUCCCGAAAUCUGAGCAAAAAAAAUAAUACCCUUGCCUGCAUAGGGAUUUGAACACAAGACCUCCACCAUAAUAUCACACCAUUGAACCACCAGACCAGUAGGCCCAUUCUAAUGUAAUUUACC
rnacentral:lncRNA from 1 species